rnacentral:rRNA from 1 species
ACGUAGGGUGCAGGCGUUAAUCGGAAUUACUGGGCGUAAAGCGUGCGCAGGUGGCUCCUUAAGUCAGAUGUGAAAUCCCCGGGCUUAACCUGGGAACUGCGUUUGAAACUGAGGAGCUAGAGUGUGGAAGAGGGGGGUGGAAUUCCAGGUGUAGCAGUGAAAUGCGUAGAGAUCUGGAGGAACACCGAUGGCGAAGGCAGCCCCCUGGGCUAACACUGACGCUCAUGCACGAAAGCGUGGGGAGCAAACAGGAUUAGAUACCCUGGUAGUCCACGCCCUAAACGAUGUCAACUAGUUGUCGGGGAAGCAAUUCCUUGGUAACGAAGCUAACGCGUGAAGUUGACCGCCUGGGGAGUACGGCCGCAAGGUUA